AAUUUUGCAAUUGAAUUUGGUUUUCCGAAUUGCUUUCGCAUUCGGAAUGAAAAGGGAAUCCGGUUAAAAUCCGGAGCUGUACCCGCAGCUGUAAGUUCUGUAAAAAGGUUUUUGAGAUUCUUUGCCACUGGGAAAUCAGUGAUCAGUGUUCAGUUUUCUAUAACAACUGCCAACUGCCAAUUGCUAACUCUUAACUGAUAACUGAUAACUGCUAACUGAACAUUGAAAUACCGGGAAGGCAUCAAAAACAGGAACAAGCCAGAAGACCUGCCAUAAGCAAAUCGAAUGA
rnacentral:ncRNA from 2 species